GAUCAUGGCUCAGAAUCAACGCUGGCGGCGUGCCUCAGACAUGCAAGUCGAACGAUUAAAGCUCUCUUCGGAGAGUGUAUAGAGUGGCGCACGGGUGAGUAACACGUAAGUAAUCUACCCUCGAGUGGGGAAUAACAACCGGAAACGGUUGCUAAUACCGCAUAAUGCAGCGGCACCGCAAGGUGACAGUUGUUAAAGAUUUAUCGCUUGAGGAGGAGCUUGCGGCAGAUUAGCUAGUUGUAGGGUAACGGCUUACCAAGGCUACGAUCUGUAACCAGUCUAAGAGGACGGUCGGUCCCACUGACACUGAAUAACGGGUCAGACUCCUACGGGAGGCAGCAGUCGGGAAUUUUGGGCAAUGGGCGAAAGCCUGACCCAGCAACGCCGCGUGAAGGAUGAAGUAUUUCGGUAUGUAAACUUCGAAAGAAUAGGAAGAAUUAAUGACGGUACUAUUUAUAAGGUCCGGCUAACUACGUG
rnacentral:rRNA from 1 species